UGUUGAAUAUACCGGUUCUCGUUAGAUCACCGAAGUUAAGCAUCAUUGGGCGCGGUCAGUACUUGGGUGGGUGACCACCUGGGAACACUGUGUGCCGUU
rnacentral:rRNA from 1 species